rnacentral:rRNA from 1 species
AUAUCUGGUUGAUCCUGCCUGAACUGAUGUGUUUAUUUCAAAGAUUAAGCCAUGCAUGUAUAAGUUUAAUCGUUUAUCGAGAAACCGCGAACGGCUCAUUACAAUGGCCAUUAUUUACUUGAUCUUGAUUGUCUAAAUGGAUAACUGUGGAAAAGCUAGAGCUAAUACAUGCACUAAAGCUUUGUCCUUACGGAAAAGCGCAUUUAUUAGAACAAAACCACGCGGCUUCGGCUGCUUCUUGUUGACUCAGAAUAACUUAGCUGACCGCAUGGCCUUGUGCCGGCGGCGUGUCUUUCAAGCGUCCACUUUAUCAACUUGACGGGAGCAUAAUCGACUCCCGUGGUGGUGACGGAUAACGGAGGAUCAGGGUUCGACUCCGGAGAAGGGGCCUGAGAAAUGGCCACUACGUCUAAGGAUGGCAGCAGGCGCGCAAAUUACCCACUCUCGGCUCGAGGAGGUAGUGACGAGAAAUAACGAGACUGUUCUCUUUGAGGCCGGUCAUCGGAAUGGGUACAAUUUAAACCCUUUAACGAGUAUCAAGCAGAGGGCAAGUCUGGUGCCAGCAGCCGCGGUAAUUCCAGCUCUGCAAAUACAUAGAAUUAUUGCUGCGGUUAGAAAGCUCAUAGUUGGAUUCGUAUCGAUACCUUGGAACCCUUCGGGUGUCUCUAGGUGUUAUCGAUUUAUCGUAAUGUUCGGUUUUGAGUCCUUAACAGGAUUCUUAACAGGCAUUGCAAGUUUACUUUGAACAAAUCAGAGUGCUUCAAACAGGCGUUUUCGCUUGAAUGAUCGUGCAUGGAAUAAUAGAAAAUGAUUUCGGUUCAGUUUUAUUGGUUUUACGGACUGAGAUAAUGGUUAACAGAGACAAACGGGGGCAUUUGUAUGGUCCCGUGAGAGGUGAAAUUCUUGGACCGUGGCCAGACAAACUACAGCGAAAGCAUUUGCCAAGAAUGUUUUUAUUAAUCAAGAACGAAAGUCAGAGGUUCGAAGGCGAUCAGAUACCGCCCUAGUUCUGACCGUAAACGAUGCCAACUAGCGAUCCGCCGAUGGAAAUUAUAUUGCCUUGGUGGGGAGCUUCCCGGAAACGAAAGUCUUCCGGUUCCGGGGGAAGUAUGGUUGCAAAGCUGAAACUUAAAGGAAUUGACGGAAGGGCACCACCAGGAGUGGAGCCUGCGGCUUAAUUUGACUCAACACGGGGAAACUCACCCGGCCCGGACACUGUGAGGAUUGACAGAUUGAUAGCUUUUUCAUGAUUCAGUGGAUGGUGGUGCAUGGCCGUUCUUAGUUCGUGGAGUGAUUUGUCUGGUUUAUUCCGAUAACGAGCGAGACUCUAACCUACUAAAUAGUUGGUACAUACUCUUAGUGUAUACAGCUUCUUAGAGGGAUUUGCGGCGUUCAGCCGAAAGAAAUUGAGCAAUAACAGGUCUGUGAUGCCCUUAGAUGUCCGGGGCUGCACGCGCGCUACACUGGCAAAAUCAACGUGCUUGUCCUACCCUGAAAGGGGCGGGUAAACCAUUGAAAAUUUGCCGUGAUUGGGAUCGGAAAUUGCAAUUAUUUUCCGUGAACGAGGAAUUCCAAGUAAUUGCGAGUCAUCAGCUCGCGUUGAUUACGUCCCUGCCCUUUGUACACACCGCCCGUCGCUGCCCGGGACUGAGCCAUUUCGAGAAAUUUGGGGACCGUUGAUUUAAUUUUUCUAAAUUACUUUGAUGGAAACCAAUUUAAUCGCAGUGGCUUGAACCGGGCAAAAGUCGUAACAAGGUAGCUGUAGGUGAACCUGCUGCUGGAUCAUUA